rnacentral:rRNA from 1 species
GGAUGGCGCUGUAGCGUCGUGCUUAUACUCGGCCGUCAACGGCAAAGUGGGCGGCCGCCUCGCGGCGGCCGGGCCGUUACGCCUUGACGAGUAGGAGGGUCGCGGCGGUGGCACUGAAGGGUCUCGGCGUGAGCCGGCCUGGAGCCGCCGUCGGCGCAGAUCUUGGUGGUAGUAGCAAAUACUCAAGCGAGGACCUUGAGGACUGACGUGGAGAAGGGUUUCUUGUGAACAGCUGUUGCACAAGAGUCAGUCGAUCCUAAGCCCUAGGAGAGAUCCCAUGUGGAUGGGGCGAAAGGGAAUCCGGUUCCUAUUCCGGAACCCGGUAGCGGAACCGUCCAAAACGGGCCCUCAUCAGUGCUCGUCGGGGCAACCCAAAGAGACCCGGAGACGCCGUCGGGAAGACCGGAGAGAGUUUUCUUUUCUCUGUAAGCGUUCGAGUUCCAUGGAAUCCUCUAGCAGGGAGAUAUGGUUUGGAACGCGAAGAGCACCGCAGUUGCGGCGGUGUCCGGUCUUCCCCUCGGACCUUGAAAAUCCGGGCGAGGGCCACGUGGAACGUCCGCACCGGACCGUACCCAUAUCCGCAGCAGGUCUCCAAGG